rnacentral:rRNA from 1 species
GAUGAACGCUAGCUACAGGCUUAACACAUGCAAGUCGAGGGACCGGCGCACGGGUGAGUAACACGUAUCCAACCUGCCCUUUACUCGGGGAUAGCCUUUCGAAAGAAAGAUUAAUACCCGAUAUAAAGGAUGGGGAUGCGUUCCAUUAGGUUGUUGGUGAGGUAACGGCUCACCAAGCCUUCGAUGGAGAGGGGUUCUGAGAGGAAGGUCCCCCAUAGUGGAACGGGGACACGGUCCAAAGUCCUACGGGAGGCAGCAGUGAGUAAUAUGGGUCAAUGGGCGUUAGCCUGAACCAGCCAAGUAGCGUGAAGGAUGAAGGCUUAUGGGUCGUAAACUUCUUUGAUAUAAGAAUAGGUAUUAUAUGAAUAAGGAUCGGCUAACUCCGUGCCAGCAGCCGCGGUAAUUC